AUAAUACUCCCUCCGUUCAACAAAAGAUGUCUAAAGUUUGUCAAAAUUUGAAUGUAUCUAGACAUGAUUUAGUGUAAUGCAUUUAAAUUUAGUCAAAGUUGAAACAUUCUUUGUUGGACGGAGAGAGUAAUAG
rnacentral:pre_miRNA from 1 species